rnacentral:rRNA from 1 species
CAAGUCGAACGCGAAAGUCCCGCAAGGGAUGAGUAGAGUGGCAAACGGGUGAGUAACACGUGGGUGACCUGCCUUCGAGUGGGGGAUAACGUCCCGAAAGGGACGCUAAUACCGCAUAACAUCCUGCCUUUGAACAGGCGGUGAUCAAAGCUGGGGACCCGCAAGGGCCUGGCGCUGGAAGAGGGGCCCGCGUCUGAUUAGCUAGUUGGUGGGGUAACGGCUCACCAAGGCAACGAUCAGUAUCCGGCCUGAGAGGGCGGACGGACACACUGGGACUGAGACACGGCCCAGACUCCUACGGGAGGCAGCAGUGGGGAAUUGUUCGCAAUGGGCGCAAGCCUGACGACGCAACGCCGCGUGGAGGAUGAAGACCUUCGGGUCGUAAACUCCUUUCGAUCGAGACGAACGGCCUCCGGGUGAACACUCCGGAGGAAUGACGGUACCGAGAGAAGAAGCCCCGGCUAACUCCGUGCCAGCAGCCGCGGUAAUACGGGGGGGGCAAGCGUUGUUCGGAAUUACUGGGCGUAAAGGGCUCGUAGGUGGCCAACUAAGUCAGACGUGAAAUCCCUCGGCUUAACCGGGGAACUGCGUCUGAUACUGGAUGGCUUGAGUUCGGGAGAGGGAUGCGGAAUUCCAGGUGUAGCGGUGAAAUGCGUAGAUAUCUGGAGGAACACCGGUGGCGAAGGCGGCAUCCUGGACCGACACUGACACUGAGGAGCGAAAGCCAGGGGAGCAAACGGGAUUAGAUACCCCGGUAGUCCUGGCCCUAAACGAUGAAUGCUUGGUGUGGCGGGUAUCGAUCCCUGCCGUGCCGAAGCUA